AAAGGGAGACCUAAUUCAGGUAUGGGACGAAAAAAAAGUAGUCCCUACCAAGAAUCAAUCCCAAAAGGUCGGAACGAGGUGUGUGGCUUUCAAACUAGGUUCUGGGUUCAUAAAAGACCUGAAUCAGGAACAAGGGCUAUUAGCUCAGGUGGUUAGAGCGCACCCCUGAUAAGGGUGAGGUCCCUGGUUCGAGUCCAGGAUGGCCCACCUGCACAGGUGGAAGAAAGAAAAGAAGCUCCGAAUCAGCACCUUAUCUUACUUAUAUAGUAAGAGAGAAUGCUGGCUCUGAGUACAGAGUCCAGAGGAACCUUGAAAACUGCAUAGAGCUAGGUGAAAAAGCCAAAAAAGAAGACCGCAAG
rnacentral:tRNA from 1 species